rnacentral:rRNA from 1 species
UACGGGGGGGGCAAGCGUUGUUCGGAAUUACUGGGCGUAAAGGGCGCGUAGGCGGCCUGCUAAGUCGGAUGUGAAAUCCCUCGGCUCAACCGAGGAACUGCAUUCGAUACUGCUGAGCUAGAGUACUGGAGAGGAGAUUGGAAUUUACGGUGUAGCAGUGAAAUGCGUAGAUAUCGUAAGGAAGACCAGUGGCGAAGGCGGAUCUCUGGACAGUUACUGACACUGAGGCACGAAGGCCAGGGGAGCAAACGGG